rnacentral:rRNA from 1 species
UACGAAGGUCCCAAGCGUUAUCCGGAUUUAUUGGGUUUAAAGGGUGCGUAGGUGGGCUAGUAAGUCCGUGGUGAAAUCUCCAAGCUUAACUUGGAAACUGCCGUGGAUACUAUUAGUCUUGAAUAUUGUGGAGGUAAGCGGAAUAUGUCAUGUAGCGGUGAAAUGCUUAGAUAUGACAUAGAACACCGAUAGCGAAGGCAGCUUGCUACACAAUCAUUGACACUGAGGCACGAAAGCGUGGGGAUCAAACAGG